rnacentral:rRNA from 1 species
GAUGAACGCUGGCGGCGUGCCUAAUACAUGCAAGUCGAGCGAACAGACGAGGAGCUUGCUCCUCUGACGUUAGCGGCGGACGGGUGAGUAACACGUGGAUAACCUACCUAUAAGACUGGGAUAACUUCGGGAAACCGGAGCUAAUACCGGAUAAUAUAUUGAACCGCAUGGUUCAAUAGUGAAAGACGGUUUUGCUGUCACUUAUAGAUGGAUCCGCGCCGCAUUAGCUAGUUGGUAAGGUAACGGCUUACCAAGGCAACGAUGCGUAACCGACCUGAGAGGGUGAUCGGCCACACUGGAACUGAGACACGGUCCAGACUCCUACGGGAGGCAGCAGUAGGGAAUCUUCCGCAAUGGGCGAAAGCCUGACGGAGCAACGCCGCGUGAGUGAUGAAGGUCUUCGGAUCGUAAAACUCUGUUAUUAGGGAAGAACAAAUGUGUAAGUAACUAUGCACGUCUUGACGGUACCUAAUCAGAAAGCCGCGGCUAACUACGUG